UGGGGAAUUUUGGACAAUGGGCGAAAGCCUGAUCCAGCAAUGCCGCGUGUGUGAAGAAGGCCUUCGGGUUGUAAAGCACUUUUGUCCGGAAAGAAAUCCUUGGCUCUAAUACAGUCGGGGGAUGACGGUACCGGAAGAAUAAGCACCGGCUAACUACGUGCCAGCAGCCGCGGUAAUACGUAGGGUGCAAGCGUUAAUCGGAAUUACUGGGCGUAAAGCGUGCGCAGGCGGUUUGCUAAGACCGAUGUGAAAUCCCCGGGCUCAACCUGGGAACUGCAUUGGUGACUGGCAGGCUAGAGUAUGGCAGAGGGGGGUAGAAUUCCACGUGUAGCAGUGAAAUGCGUAGAGAUGUGGAGGAAUACCGAUGGCGAAGGCAGCCCCCUGGGCCAAUACUGACGCUCAUGCACGAAAGCGUGGGGAGCAAACAGGAUUCAGAUACCCUGGUAGUCCACGCCCUAAACGAUGUCAACUAGUUGUUGGGGAUUCAUUUCCUAGUAACGUAGCUAACGCGUGAAGUUGACCGCCUGGGGAGUACGGUCGCAAGAUUAAAACUCAAAUUGAAUU
rnacentral:rRNA from 1 species